CGAGAGCAUGCGGUGGUGAAAGAGGAGGCUACGAGAUGCCGCCCGGUGUUACGAUCGGCAGCAAAUGACCACCUCGCUGUUGCUCCUAGCUGGCUUGUACCAAAAAGAUAUAAACCCUGGGCAAUGCUGUGCGGUUACUAGUGAUGGAGAUUAUGGGGACACUGCAGCUUUCUUCUCCAAUCUCAUGUGAAUAAAUCCAGGAAACUUUGUUUCCUUUUCCUGAGCAAUACCUCUGGGCUCUACGUUGUUCGCACCCAUCCCGAGAGACGGCCCGAGCCUCUGAAUUAACAAAGUUUUCAUUUCCUUCUGCUUUCUGACCCCAGGUCAGCCAAGACCAGCCAUGCAUUGUGCUGGGGAGAUUGCUCUGUCCAAGAUUGUGCUUCAGAUAAGAGUUUGGAUGAUUAUGAUUAAUACGACUGCUUUAUUUGUCUGACAGGUGGACUGAUAAAUAGAUAUUGUUGCUAGGACUACGUUCCUUCCUGAUAUGAUAAACAGUACAGACAGCCUGAAAUGCUGGUGUUUCUUGGAGAUCCGUGAAACCAGAGGUCAGGGCAGCGUGUACCUUGCCCUUUGAUUGUACUUGGAUAAAGGACUUCAGUCCUUUAAGUGAACAGUGAUGAUUUCAUCAGGACCUGACAUGUCCCUAGUUUCCAGUAAGGAAAACAAACAAAACCUCACAGUUUGAGAAUACAGCCCAGACAUGCUGAAUGCUCAUAAAAGGGCAGAAUACACAGAUCCAAUAGAAAAAGUAGCUUAAAAUGUCACCAGAAACUGUUACGAUCUUUGGCGAGAUUCUUUUCCCCCUUUAUCUGAUCUGCAUUUUUUGUUCUUUCUGUCUUUACCUUACAGGAACAGAAGAAUUUUUGGAAUUCGUCCGCAAGCAGAUACCGUGCCUGAAGCUGCCUGAACUCCCCCUGGCUGCUGCGUUUCCCAUGAACCAGCGUGCUGCCUUCCCUUUGCUGCGUGCUCAAACAGCAACUGCGGGCGUCUGGCAGCGGGAGGGCUGCAGGAAAAGUCAGACAAAGCGUUCAAGUCCUGCUCAGGUGGAUUUUAGCCAAGCAAGAAACUGUUUGACUGAACCAGUGUGACUAUUUUCCUCCCAUAGUGAAAUGACAAAGUCUUUUUCCUUUGUGCCAAGCUCCUCGUGGCUGCAAUAAAUUCCCGUGCAGAAACA
rnacentral:lncRNA from 1 species